rnacentral:rRNA from 1 species
AUUGAACGCUAGCGGGAUGCCUUACACAUGCAAGUCGAACGGAUUGGCGAACGGGUGAGUAAUGUAUCGGAACGUGCCCAGUAGCGGGGGAUAACUACGCGAAAGCGUAGCUAUUACCGCAUCCUAUUGGCGCGGCCGAUAUCGGCUUAGCUAGUUGGGGGGGUAACGGCUCACCAAGGCGACGAUCCGUAGCUGGUUUGAGAGGAUGACCAGCCACACGGGGACUGAGACAUGGCCCAGACUCCUACGGGAGGCAGCAGUGGGGAAUUUUGGACAAUGGGGGAAAGCCUGAUCCAGCCAUCCCGCGUGUGUGAUGAAGGACUUCGGGUUGUAAAGCACUUUUGGCAGGAAAGCGGUACCUGCAGAAUAAGCACCGGCUAACUACGUGCCAGCAGCCGCGGUAAUUC